UACAGAGGGGGCGAGCGUUAAUCGGAUUUACUGGGCGUAAAGCGUGCGUAGGCGGCUUUUUAAGUCGGAUGUGAAAUCCCAGAGCUUAACCUGGGAAUUGCAUUCGAUACUGGGAAGCUAGAGUAUAGGAGAGGAUAGUAGAAUUCCACGUGUAGCGGUGAAAUGCGUAGAGAUCUGGAGGAAUACCGAUGGCGAAGGCAGCUAUCUGGCCUGAUACUGACGCUGAGGUACGAAAGCAUGGGGAGCAAACAGC
rnacentral:misc_RNA from 1 species